rnacentral:rRNA from 1 species
GGGCCUAAAGCGUUCCGUAGCAGGCUUUGUAAAUGCUUUGUGAAAUCGGCAGGCAUAACUGUCGGCGUGCAGAGUAGACUGCAGGGCUUGAGACCGGGAGAUGUCAGAAGUAUUCCUAGGGUACCGGUAAAAUGGGUUAAUCCUGGGAGGACUACCGAUGGCGAAGGCAUCUGACAAGAACGGUUCUGACUGUGAGGGACGAAAGCCAGGGGAGCAAAACGGAUUAGAUACCCGAGUAGUCCUAGCCGUAAACGCUGCGAGCAAGGUAUUGCGCCUCCCACGAGGAUGCGCAGUGUCGAAAUGAAGAUGUUAAGCUCGCCACCAGGGAAGUACGGUCGCAAGGCUGAAACUUUAAGGAAUUGGCGGGGGAGCGCCACAAGGGGUGCGGCGUGCGGUUCAAUCUAACUCAACGCAGAGAACCUCACUAGGCCCGACGGCAGAAUGAAGGUCAUGCUGAAGACAUUACCUGACAAGCCGAGAGGUAGUGCACGGCCGUCGCCAGCUCGUGCUGUGAAGUGUCCAGUUAAGUCUGGCAACGAGCGAGACCUGUACCCUCUAUUGCUAACGACCACAUGUGGGAUCGAGCACUUUGAGGGGACUGCCCAGGAAACAGGGAGGAAGGUGCAGGCUACGGUAGGUCUGUAUGCUCCGAAUGGUCUAGGCUACACGCGCGCAACAAUGGUGGA